rnacentral:rRNA from 1 species
UACGUAGGGUGCGAGCGUUGUCCGGAAUUAUUGGGCGUAAAGGGCUCGUAGGCGGUUUGUCGCGUCGGGAGUGAAAACCCGCUGCUUAACGGCGGGUUGGCUUCCGGUACGGGCAUCGCUGGAGUGCGGCAGGGGAGACUGGAAUUCCUGGUGUAGCGGUGGAAUGCGCAGAUAUCAGGAGGAACACCGGUGGCGAAGGCGGGUCUCUGGGCCGUUACUGACGCUGAGGAGCGAAAGCGUGGGGAGCGAACAGG